rnacentral:lncRNA from 1 species
UGUAAUCCCUUCCCAAGCUACUGCAAGUUAUGUGAGUUGUGUACCCAGCAGUGACGGGUCCAGCGACUGGGGGUUGCAGAUGUAAUCCCUUCCCAAGCUACUGCAAGUUAUGUGAGUUGUGUACCCAGCAGUGACGGGUCCAGCGACUGGAGGUUGCAGAUGUAAUCCCUUCCCAAGCUACUGCAAGUUAUGUGAGUUGUGUACCCAGCAGUGACGGGUCCAGCGACUGGAGGUUGCAGAUGUAAUCCCUUCCCAAGCUACUGCAAGUUAUGUGAGUUGUGUACCCAGCAGUGACGGGUCCAGCGACUGGAGGUUGCAGAUGUAAUCCCUUAUCAAGCUACUGCAAGUUAUGUGAGUUGUGUACCCAGCAGUGACGGGUCCAGCGACUGGAGGUUGCAGAUGUAAUCCCUUCCCAAGCUACUGCAAGUUAUGUGAGUUGUGUACCCAGCAGUGACGGGUCCAGCGACUGGAGGUUGCAGAUGUAAUCCCUUCCCAAGCUACUGCAAGUUAUGUGAGUUGUGUACCCAGCAGUGACGGGUCCAGCGACUGGAGGUUGCAGAUGUAAUCCCUUCCCAAGCUACUGCAAGUUAUGUGAGUUGUGUACCCAGCAGUGACGGGUCCAGCGACUGGAGGUUGCAGAUGUAAUCCCUUCCCAAGCUACUGCAAGUUAUGUGAGUUGUGUACCCAGCAGUGACGGGUCCAGCGACUGGAGGUUGCAGAUGUAAUCCCUUCCCAAGCUACUGCAAGUUAUGUGAGUUGUGUACCCAGCAGUGACGGGUCCAGCGACUGGAGGUUGCAGAUGUAAUCCCUUCCCAAGCUACUGCAAGUUAUGUGAGUUGUGUACCCAGCAGUGACGGGUCCAGCGACUGGAGGUUGCAGAUGUAAUCCCUUCCCAAGCUACUGCAAGUUAUGUGAGUUGUGUACCCAGCAGUGACGGGUCCAGCGACUGGAGGUUGCAGAUGUAAUCCCUUCCCAAGCUACUGCAAGUUAUGUGAGUUGUGUACCCAGCAGUGACGGGUCCAGCGACUGGAGGUUGCAGAUGUAAUCCCUUCCCAAGCUACUGCAAGUUAUGUGAGUUGUGUACCCAGCAGUGACGGGUCCAGCGACUGGAGGUUGCAGAUGUAAUCCCUUCCCAAGCUACUGCAAGUUAUGUGAGUUGUGUACCCAGCAGUGACGGGUCCAGCGACUGGAGGUUGCAGAUGUAAUCCCUUCCCAAGCUACUGCAAGUUAUGUGAGUUGUGUACCCAGCAGUGACGGGUCCAGCGACUGGAGGUUGCAGAUGUAAUCCCUUCCCAAGCUACUGCAAGUUAUGUGAGUUGUGUACCCAGCAGUGACGGGUCCAGCGACUGGAGGUUGCAGAUGUAAUCCCUUCCCAAGCUACUGCAAGUUAUGUGAGUUGUGUACCCAGCAGUGACGGGUCCAGCGACUGGAGGUUGCAGAUGUAAUCCCUUCCCAAGCUACUGCAAGUUAUGUGAGUUGUGUACCCAGCAGUGACGGGUCCAGCGACUGGAGGUUGCAGAUGUAAUCCCUUCCCAAGCUACUGCAAGUUAUGUGAGUUGUGUACCCAGCAGUGACGGGUCCAGCGACUGGAGGUUGCAGAUGUAAUCCCUUCCCAAGCUACUGCAAGUUAUGUGAGUUGUGUACCCAGCAGUGACGG